UACGUAGGGGGCAAGCGUUGUCCGGAUUUAUUGGGCGUAAAGAGCUCGUAGGCGGUCUGUCGCGUCGGCUGUGAAAACCCGAGGCUCAACCUCGGGCCUGCAGUCGAUACGGGCAGACUAGAGUGCUGUAGGGGAGACUGGAAUUCCUGGUGUAGCGGUGAAAUGCGCAGAUAUCAGGAGGAACACCGGUGGCGAAGGCGGGUCUCUGGGCAGUAACUGACGCUGAGGAGCGAAAGCGUGGGGAGCAAGCAGG
rnacentral:rRNA from 1 species